AUACGGAGGGUGCAAGCGUUAUCCGGAAUUAUUGGGUUUAAAGGGUCCGUAGGCGACUAGAUAAGUCAGUGGUGAAAUUCUCUCGCUCAACGAGAGACCUGCCAUUGAUACUGUCUUGGCUAGAGUUACAGUGAGGUGAGUGGAAUGUGUAGUGUAGCGGUGAAAUGCAUAGAUAUUACACAGAACACCGAUUGCGAAGGCAGCUCACUAACUGUAUACUGACGCUGAUGGACGAAAGCGUGGGGAGCAAACAGGAUUAGAAACCCUAGUAGUCC
rnacentral:rRNA from 1 species